rnacentral:rRNA from 1 species
AGAGUUUGAUCCUGGCUCAGGACGAACGCUGGCGGUGUGCUUAACACAUGCAAGUCGAACGGUAAGGCCCUUUCGGGGGUACACGAGUGGCGAACGGGUGAGUAACACGUGAGUAACCUGCCCUCAUCUCUGGGAUAACAGUCGGAAACGGUUGCUAAUACUGGAUAUGAGCUUGCAAGGCAUCUUGUGGGUUGGAAAGAUAUUUUUUGGUUGGGGAUGGACUCGCGGCCUAUCAGCUUGUUGGUGAGGUAGUGGCUCACCAAGGCUUCGACGGGUAGCCGGCCUGAGAGGGCGACCGGCCACAUUGGGACUGAGAUACGGCCCAAACUCCUACGGGAGGCAGCAGUGGGGAAUAUUGCACAAUGGACGGAAGUCUGAUGCAGCAACGCCGCGUGCGGGAUGACGGCCUUCGGGUUGUAAACCGCUUUCAAUUGUGACGAAGCUUUUUGUGACGGUAGCAGUAGAAGAAGCACCGGCUAACUACGUGCCAGCAGCCGCGGUGAUACGUAGGGUGCGAGCGUUGUCCGGAUUUAUUGGGCGUAAAGAGCUUGUAGGUGGUUUGUCGCGUCGGGAGUGAAAACUCAGGGCUUAACUCUGAGCUUGCUUUCGAUACGGGCUGACUUGAGGGAGGUAGGGGAGAAUGGAAUUCCUGGUGGAGCGGUGGAAUGCGCAGAUAUCAGGAGGAACACCGGUGGCGAAGGCGGUUCUCUGGACCUUUCCUGACGCUGAGAAGCGAAAGCGUGGGGAGCGAACAGGCUUAGAUACCCUGGUAGUCCACGCUGUAAACGGUGGGUACUAGGUGUGGGGGACAUUCCACGUUCUCCGUGCCGUAGCUAACGCAUUAAGUACCCCGCCUGGGGAGUACGGCCGCAAGGCUAAAACUCAAAGGAAUUGACGGGGCCCCGCACAAGCGGCGGAGCAUGCGGAUUAAUUCGAUGCAACGCGAAGAACCUUA